rnacentral:rRNA from 1 species
GACGAACGCUGGCGGCGUGCUUAACACAUGCAAGUCGAGCGGAGCGGCGAACGGGUGAGUAACGCGUGAGUAACUGCCCCCCUCUCUGGGAUAACAGUUGGAAACGGCUGCUAAUACCGGAUAGUGGGGGAUGACUCGCGUCAUAUCAGCUUGUUGGAGGGGUAGUGGCCUACCAAGGAGACGACGGGUAGCCGGCCGGAGGGGGCGACCGGCCACAUGGGGCUGAGGUACGGCCCAAUGUGCUACGGGAGGCAACAGUGGGGAAUAUUGCACAAUGGGGGAACCCCUGAUGCAGCAACGCCGCGUGCGGAAGGACGGCCUUCGGGUUGUAAACCGCUUUCAGCCAUGACGCGGUAGUGGCAGAAGAAGCACCGGCUAACUACGUGCCAGCAGCCGCGGUAAUAC